CCACGCCCGCCAAGAGCGCCUCGCCCCGCCCGCCGCGGAGGCUGUCGGGAUGCAUAGUCCAAACAGGCGGCGCAGCCAGGAAAGAUCAAGGAAAUGGAGGAGAGAGCAAGGCAUCACGGGAUAUGUAGUCCAAACUGUAGGUACGUUGUCGGAGGCAACUUACGUCCUUCGCAGCGGACGCCGGGAGAUGUAGUCGUAGAGACGUGGGCAUUAGGAACCUGGAUUAUGGCAUUAAGGGUAUCCCCACGUUUUAUGUCACCCAGCCCUGACCUCCCUCUGCCUAGCUGACUCGCAAAAGUGUGUUCAAUUAACUAGCGUCUACUUCGGCUGGCAGACAGCACAGAAGUCGCGGGGAACUCCUGGCUUGCGGCCCCAGCAGGCACCGCGGUGGGAAGUCAGGUCCAAUCACCAGAAUUCAAUAACCCAAUUGACUGAAGAGUCUUAAUUAAAAGUAAAAAGCAGAAAAGGGAGAUUUAUUGGAUGCGGCCACAUUGGGAUGAGGGAUGAAGAGGUCCAGGAAACCCAAGUCCAUCAUCUUGAGGUCAAAGCACAUCAAAGCAGACCACUGACCCAUUGUGGAAGCCAAAUCAACCCAAGACUUAAGAAGCCUUGAUGAAGAGAGGAAACAUUAGUUCUGACCUGUCCAGAACUCUUGGCAGACACUGCCUCAGUGUACUUAAUAAACUUGCUUUGCAUCUAAAUCAUCA